CUCUCUCUUUGGAAAAGAAUUUAUUACACUUUUUUCUUCGUAAUCAUUCAUUCAUUAAUCGAAUGUAAUCGUGGUGGCCUGGCUUCGUGGGGACCGUCCCUCCCUCAUUGCCCGGACCGCGUUCAGCUUAUGCAUAUUUGGCCCGGGUCGUACGAUAAAACACGGGCUAUUUGGCGGAAUACAACGCAUGCAGACGUCAUAUAAUCGUUAUAAACGUCCUUAAUAACGUACGUCAUCCCGUCUGACUUCGUUAAAUUGCGUUCUACUUCGAUUUUUAGAACGACAUCUUGCUGGCCUUCGGAUGUCGUGACGUCAUCGCCGUCCAUCAUCUUCGAGGAGAAAUGUCGCCAAUUCGGACUCACCUAUCUACCCGGCCGGGUCGACGAAAAUGGCGCCAAUUUCGGUCAUUCGGGCGGAGUUUCGUUAAUUGGUGCGGAAAGCGUUGACGGAAGACGUCCCGAUGAAGAGGGUGAUCGAGAAAAUGUCGGACCACGAACGGAAAUCGAGAGAGGAGCGAAAGAGAAAUUUUAAGAUAAGGUGAAAUUUAUGAAGACACUUGUAGUAUAAGGACUACUGUUAAGAACUUUAGAUAAAGGAUGAACGAUUGUAUUUUUAAAGAUCAUCCCUUUUGUAAAGGCACUUCAACUCAUAUUAAGGAAUAUCGACAAAUAGAAUGAGCAAAGGAAGUAAAAAGAGAGUUGAUGAAUUGUAUCACAGCUUGGAUCCAGAUACAACAGUGGAAUCUCACAAAGACUGUAUAUCAGCUCAUACUUCUUCUCUGCAUAUCACCCGAUACUUAAAGAAACAUAGAAGCAACCACCCAUUACCCCAACUUCCCCUAAGAUAAAGAAAAGAAUCAGGGCAAUUCAUGCUUAAAGAACAUUGUAUAUUUUGCGGAAAUGACUGUCCAAUUACACCUAAUCCGGGCCAUCCUGAAAGGUGUGACAAGGCUUCAUUAUGCCAUACAUCAGGCCGUGGUGGUACAUAUAAAUCUUUCAAAGAAGCUACGGUAUAUUAAAUGUUCGUAAAUUGCCUCAUGAUCAGUGGGGUUCUAAAGCAGAACUUAGACCAAGUGGAGCAACAGCAGAUCUUCAUCAUGCUGCAGAUGGACGACACCACCGAAAAUUCUAUCAAACGUUUGUUAAACUAAAAUACUAUAAAACAGAGAGCUCUUCUUCAGAUAUGACUGACAUGGAUAAUACUCCUGCACUACAUGCUUGCAUAACUGAAAUGAAAAAAAAGACUAUUCCCAGAUAUGGAAUUCAGUCAAUCUUCAUCAAGUUUACAUUGCCCAUGGUGGAAAGCUCAAGCGUCGUCAGUUUAUGAACACCUUUAUGAAUAUUUUAGAAAACGAGUACAUAGUGCUGCCUGCUUAUAGUUACGCUAGUAUUAUUAUUCAUAAAUCAUCUGCAAGUCAUCCCAUAAAGCUGUUGUAAAUGGAAGCUACUUCUGGGGAACGUAGUCAAAUCAACAUGAAAGCUACUGUUAAAAAACACCACCCCAUAGUUUCAAACAUUUUAGCAACACAUGUUUUAUCUGAUUGUGACACAACGUCACAAUGACAUCGAAUUUGGAGGGGGCGUCUGUUGUAAAUGUUUUAAGACAAGGUUACUAGAUUGCUGUGCUUGGUGAUACUUAAAUGCAAACUUGUCGGUGUAAUACAAUAAGCAACUAUACAUUUAUAUCACGCUGCUACGGCAUAGUGUCAAAAGCCUCUGACACUAUGUCUGACAUUAGGUAUGCGGUAUGACAAAAAAAGUUGUAGGAGUUCCCCAGUUAAAGACACUGCUUCCAGCAGCAGCCGCAUUUAGAUACUAUAUGUUUACCGGUGUCACCUACUACAGGCUGCCCGAUGGAAAUGUGCUGAUGAAGCAAAUCCACACCUUAUGGACCCGACUGACUGUGGGUGGAAAUUUGACUCUACUCAUACUUUUCUAGUGCCAGUUACCACACCCAAAGGAGUAUCAUAUGCUCCAGAAUAUUUUCUGCAGCUUAUUAAAUGUUCUUGUGCUAUUGAAGGGAAUAUAUGUGGAAGUGUAAAUUGCAGUUGUGUGAAGGUAUCUCUAGGAUGUACAUUGUUUUGUCAAUGUAAAAGUUCAGUCGAGUUUUUGAACCGAUUCGCUUAACUGAUGAAAGAUAGAAGCGAAAAGAAGAAAAAAUGAAGAAAAGGCUAUUCUUAGAAACAUUUUAAAUGAUAGCUAGCAAAAUGCAGUAACGAUCUAUCACAGUUGGUGCAGUGUAAUAAUGAUAACUAUUUAUACAUCUUUAAUGGAUUUUUCACAAGACUUUUUUUCUGAAUAUUAGUAAUUUUCUUCUCAAUUAUGGCCAUGUAUUUUUCCAAAUAAUAAUUAAUAAAACUAUUUAUCUGUUAUGA